rnacentral:rRNA from 1 species
AAUGAACGCUGGUGGCAGACCUAACACAUGCAAGUCGAACGAUUUAUAGAAACUUCGGUUUUUGUAAAGAGUGGCAAACGGGUGAGUAAUGCAUGGGAAUCUACCUAGAAGUUUGGGAUAACUAUUAGAAAUAGUAGCUAAUACCGGAUACACCCUGAGGGGGAAAGUUGACUUUAUGUCUUCGCUUUUAGAUGAGCCCAUGUUAAAUUAGUUAGUUGGUGGGGUAAUGGCCUACCAAGACGAUGAUUUAUAGCUGGUCUUAGAGGAUGAUCAGCCACACUGGAAUUGAGAUACGGUUCAGACUCCUACGGGGAGGGCAGCAGUGGGGGGAAUAUUGGACAAUGGGCGCAAGCCUGAUCCAGUCAUGCCACGUGAGUGAUGAAGGUCUUAGGAUUGUAAAGCACUUUUCAGUCAGGGAAAGGUUGUAGUUAAUACCUGCUAGCUGUGACGUUACUGACAGAAGAAGCACCGGCUAACUCCGUGCCAGCCGCCGCGGUAAUUCC